GAAUGCGUAGUCCAAUGGUUAGGACGUCCAUGUCAUAUGAACUUCGUCACAAUCCGUUGGGGCUUCGGCACCGCGGUGGAAGACAACCGAUAAGUUAUUUUGGUGUGAGUGAGUGGAAGAUGCUAGUUCGAGUCUAGCCGUGUUCA